CUUAGCCUACGGGGGGCAGCAGUGAGGAAUAUUGGUCAAUGGGCUUACGCCUGAACCAGCCAAGUCGCGUGAGGGAAGACUGCCCUAUGGGUUGUAAACCUCUUUUGUCAGGGAGCAACGCCGGCUACGUGUAGCCGGACUGAGAGUACCUGAAGAAAAAGCAUCGGCUAACUCCGUGCCAGCAGCCGCGGUAGUACGGAGGAUGCGAGCGUUAUCCGGAUUUAUUGGGUUUAAAGGGUGCGUAGGCGGGCUGUUAAGUCAGCGGUCAAAUGUCGGGGCUCAACCCCGGCCUGCCGUUGAAACUG
rnacentral:rRNA from 1 species